rnacentral:misc_RNA from 1 species
AACGGUCUAUACCUGCGGUACCUGCGGAGGGAUCAUUAACAAAUUGUCCGCUAUAAUGGAUAAUUUUAUCCAUAUCCACCUUGUGUGAAUCAUUGACGUGUUUGUUGGCAGGUUACGGCUCUUUCGUAUUGGAAAAGCUGGUGGGUUUUAGCGCUGACGAUUUCAGUGCUAGCUCGGCCUGCCAAUUUUAUUUGUUUAACUUGUCUAAAUAUUAGUGGUCUGAAAUAUAUUAUAUUUAUU